GACGAACGCUGGCGGCGUGCUUAACACAUGCAAGUCGAACGGAAAGGCCCUUCUUUUGUUGGGUGCUCGAGUGGCGAACGGGUGAGUAACACGUGAGUAACCUUCCCUUUACUUUUGGAUAACUUCAGGAAACUGGGGCUAAUACCGGAUAUGAGCUCCUGCUGCAUGGCGUGGGUUGGAAAGUUUCGGCGGUUGGGGAUUGACUCGCGGCUUAUAAGCUUGUUGGUGGGGUAGUGGCUUACCAAGGCUUUGACGGGUAGCCGGCCUGAGAGGGUGACCGGCCACAUUGGGACUGAGAUACGGCCCAGACUCCUCCGGGAGGCAGCAGUGGGGAAUAUUGCACAAUGGGCGGAAGCCUGAUGCAGCAACGCCGCGUGCGGGAUGACGGCCUUCGGGUUGUAAACCGCUUUCGCCUGUGACGAAGCGUGAGUGACGGUAAUGGGUAAAGAAGCACCGGCUAACUACGUG
rnacentral:rRNA from 1 species